CACGCAACGAAGCAUGUGGUUCAGUCCAAUGAGGCUGUCAGCAGUACUUCAGAUGCCCGAGCCCUUUGACACACCUUUUACCAACCAGGAAGGAGACGCCAAACGCCCACCCAGGCAUCAAGCGAGAAGCGACUCUGCUACUCGAGUGACCCUACGUGACUGAGAAAUGAGAUUAAAAAAGAAAAAGGGGAGAUGGAGGGCUCUUCCUCGCCGUCUUGGUGCUGUUGGGGAAUUGUGUAUUCAGCAGAUAAAGAUAUUUCCAGCGCCGCCCUCCUCCCUCUCUGUCCCCUUCUGGCGCUUGAACUCUGAGUGGGUUUGCUGUUAAUUGGAUUCAGAUUGCAGAGAUAAUACAGUCUUACGCAGAGCACUGCUUGGCCCGGCCGUGUCGGGUUUUCCCGAGCUCGGGCCUCCGGUUAAUGCCGACGAAGUAAGUACGGCAGCCUCGCAGAGGAGAACGUGUGAGGAAACAGUCUGCUGUGCAUCUGCACCCAGGCGGCAUUGCCAGCGGGGAGGAGGUCACCCAAUCAUUAGUGCCCCAGGGAUGAUGUCAUCCCGCUGUGCGCUGAAUGCCAGUCAGCACCCCAAACACACACACACACACACACACACACACACACACGUGUCCCUCCCGGCCUCAGAGAAUGCAUCAUCACCGCUGUACCGCUGACUCAGCUGGGUGUUGUUGUGUGUGUGCAUGUACGAUUGUGUGUGUUUGCAUAAGUAACCUUGACAUAAUAUGCAAACAAAAUUUUUUUUAAUGGGAAGUCGCACUAAAAGAGGUCUUUCUGCCACCAGUCUGAGCUCCAGCUGUCAGUGAGGAUAACUUUCAAACUACUUGUCUGGACUGCCGUGAUGACGAACGUCAGCAGCAAAGUCAGACUGUAAUUCCACAAAUCAUGCACUUCCUAUCUGCGAAUCCCAAGAGGGAGGAAAAUACUUUUUUCCCCGUUUGUUUGCACGGGCCAACUGAGACAAAGGCCUUUACGUUUAUAGGAAGUGCGAUUUGUUGCUUCUGCUCGGAUGAGGAAUGUAGCCAGGAAAGAAGCGACGCAGACCGAGACGGCAGAAGGAAAAGCAGCGGAAAAAAAGAUGCACGAGUGGUGGCGCAUCAAAAAGCUGCACAUUUGUUUUCAAUUUCCGGCAACGAUCCCUGAAACCAAAUCAGAGCAGUCGCGCUGGAGGGCCAAAUUGGCACGAAACGUGCUCUUACCCUCCUACAUCACCCCGUUCUGCCGUUCUCUACAAUAAUAUUUUCUUUCACAGGCAAAGAGCAUGUUUGAUCGCCCCUUUUAUUAGAGAAGAGGCCCGCCUCAGAAGUGCCUCCCUGCCGCCCGUUCCCACCGCUGUCGCUGUCUGUCUUCGCCACCACACGCUGUGCAGCCUGGCGCUGGGAACGCGAAAACAGGGAAAAGGGCCCGGGCUCGAGGGCUCAGAUGUGGAAUAAAGCGCCAAAUCGGGCCUCGGUUCUUCCAUCCAAAGGGUCAUAUUAUGUUCAGAGGUUGGCUUUCCUCCAUGUAGCCAGGCUCCUUAUUGAUCAAUAAGACAAGUCGCCUGUUUGCAUUAAUCCCACAAGCUGCCCACAUGCAGGAAUCUGCAGCACAGGGAAAAAUCUUCCAAGAGGUAAUUUCUUCAUGUUUGCAGCGAAGAGGCCCUGGAAAAAAAUCCCAAACUCAUUCUGUUUUUAUAGUUCCCCUCACUCAUUCUUUUAUAAGCGUACAGACUUGGCAGGCAAAUUCGGGUUUCCUCCCCUGACUACGAAGGAAAAAAAUACCACUUAAUGUCUGUCCCUUUGUUCUCUACAUCGAAUCAAACCAUUGGAUGAUUUACACCAGAGGUUAGGCCCAAGGUAUUGUUUGAAGGCGAGCUUGGAAUUCCUACUGCACUGAGUGUUUCCUCUGUUUUCUUUAGUCUGGCUUGCACAUCUUGACCAUGACAAGUAGUGAAAUGCCAACAUGCCCCAGAUUAUCUCUUAAGGGACAAGUGUGCAGGAGUCUGCUUCCUGCCUGCAUUGUUCCAGAACAGUAUCCUGUUUAUUACAGCUGGAUGAGCCACAGAAGAAUGGCUGGGCAACACCUACAUUUGUAGCGGUGGUCAUGCAUUAAAUUGGGACUUUUAGCAGAGAUAAGAGGGAGCGCUAAAGUUGAGAAACAGAUGUCCAAAACAAAGCCAUCAGUCUUCUCUUUGUCUUCACAGAUUAAAACUAUUGCGUCCACUCCCUUUUCUUAAAUGUUUGUUGAGUUUUCAGAUCUUCUGCAUAAAAAUGCUCAUUUUGUAUGUUCGCUCAGCGGCUCUGAGGAGGCAAACACUUAUUAUGGAGCUCUCUGUUUUUUCGCGCUGAUGGAUUACCUUGUUGAAUUUACAGGAGAAUGUAUCAUAAAUCACUGCUACGCUGACCUUUCCUUAUAAAAUGUGAAUCAA